rnacentral:lncRNA from 1 species
GUUAGCUAUUUUUCUUUUUCUUUUCUUUCUUUCUUUCUUUUUUUUUUUGGCUUAAAGCUUAGCUGGAGCCCUUUGCUCUUAGCCCAUCUAUGACAGCAACCUUCAUUAAAGUUUUUUUCUCUACUCAAGUUUGUUGUUGUUUUUUUUAAAAGAUUUUAUUUAUUUAUUUCAGAAGGAGAGAGAAAGCAUGAGCAGGGUGAGGGACAGAUGGACAGAUGGAUCCCAGGACCCUGGGAUCAUGACCUGAGCCAAAUGCAGACACUUAACCGACUGAGCCACCCAGGCCUCCUCUCUACUCAAGAACACCUGGUGGCUGUAAGGGAAGCCUGUGGAGUCUAGCCACAAACAGAGGCUGCUUGGAGGUGGCUGCUGAAGAAUCACCUGGCUUUUCCAGAUGAGCACUGGACACGUGAGCAAAGAUACCUUCAAAUGACAAUGAGUCCCAGCUGUGGCUAGACAGCAACCAAACGAGGAACCCCAAGUGAGGACCACCCCACCCCGAACCAUGAACGGUAGUAAUACAUGGUUGUUUUACUCUGCUAAGUUUGGGUUGGGGGGUGGUUUGGUAUACAGUG